UGGAGCAUGUGGCUUAAUUUGACUCAACGCGGGAAAUCUUACCGGGUCCGGACACACUGAGGAUUGACAGGCAAUAUUAGCACUUAGCUUCGGCGACGUGUUAUGUUAAAUAUGCUAGUCCUUUCAUGAUUAUGUGAUAGGUGGUGCAUGGCCGUUCUUAGUUCGUGGAGUGAUCUGUCUGCUUAAUUGCGUUUCACCAAGGGCCUAUAAUUUUACGUGUGUUGCGGCACUUUGACCCCUCUUUUUUUAAAGAGCGCGUGUCUUGGUUUGCUUAGCUCGCACAAUUAGGUCCUGAAAGCAACGAACGUGACCGCAACCUCUUGUUGCCUUUAUACCAAACGUGCAUAUGCAAUUUUUUAAUUGCUUUGCGCGCAAAAAGGCUUUUUAAACUAGAGGGACCGCUGUUACUUUCUUAAACCAGAGGAAGGUUGCGGCAAUAACAGGUCUGUG
rnacentral:rRNA from 1 species